GGAUGGAACGGGAUCGGGCUGAGGGAUGGAACGGGAUCGGGCUCGGGGAUGGAACGGGAUCGGGCUGAGGGAUGGAACGGGAUCGGGCUCAGGGAUGGAACGGGAUCGGGCUCGGGGCCGGAGCUGCCCGCCCGGCUCAGCCUCAGCCCCUGCCCGAGCCCCGCAUCCCCCGGCGGAGCCGCUGCCCCGCGCCGCUCUCCUGUGCCCCGCCGGACACAGAAACGCGGUGUCCCCAAGGGAGCCGCAGUCUGGGACGCGUUCACUCAUCGUGCCCGGAUCAUAUUCCUUACAGUGCGAACCUGUGCCUAGCGAAGGCACGUACAUCCAAGGCAGCAUCUCUUUAAAUGUAAAACUUUUAAAAGAAUGAAAUGGUUGUUACGAUCCGCAAGUUGCAAGCGAAUAGCCCGGGCUUUAGGGAGGCAGAAGGCACAUUCUGUUUCCUGUUACCUUUGUGCUGCAACCAGCGCUGGCUCCGCUGUUCUCUCUGCAUAACUUCUUAGAUUGGACUAUGAAGGCUUGAAAGUGAAUAUGCUGAGCUCUGAUAGGAAGGAAAAUUCCUCCGGAUAUUGUGAUCCCGUUAUCCUAUUCUAAUCACCCUCCAAGAGAUUCCAGAGGGGUGUGUUACUUGCCAUGAUAAUCCAUCACCAAAUCAAGUCCCACACAGCACAGAAGAGGCAUCUACCUUCUUGUGCUCUAUUCUUUGUUGCUUGGCAGAAGGAAGGUUUUGUCUGCACAGGAUCAAUUAGAGAAAAUGUUUGCCAUGUUUCCUGUGUCUGGUUUGAGUGGCAACUUCAAAACAGCAGAGUUGACUGCACUGAAGACUUUCCAUGGAAACAAGAGCAGAUUGUUUUAUUUCUGCUUCCCAUUGAACCAUAGGGAUAUCUCCAAAUAUCAUGCUGUCCAUUUAAUUUCCUCAUAUCUGUGAUUUGAAUUGCAUGUGUCAAUUUAACUUUCUUCAUCUUUCAGCAACUACUUUAAGCUCAUGAAGAUUUGGCUGCUACAAAACAGACAUAUCUUCUUUCAUUGCAAAAAUAAGGUGGGGUUUUUUUCUGCAGUGUUUGGGAGGUGUUCUGUCUGUCUUUAAAAUAAGGUGAGAUGCAUUUUUUCCAGACAGUGCUUCUCGUAUUUUUAAACAGUUUGAUAAAAUGUUCUCAUGUCUUCCUUCAGUGCUGCUGUUUCUGCUUUCAGUGUCUAUCAACAGAGCCUCUUUUAUCUUUCUUUGGACGAUCUUUUACUGCUUUAUCUUUCUUCAUAUAUUUUCUUUUUUCUUUGUUUACCUUUCUGGCCUUAAUGUAUUCAGUAGGUUUAACCUAUCCUGCCUUUUUUUCUGUAGCAGACUCCCAAGUGGUAUUUCUCUUCCACUCUUCUUUCUUGGUUUCAAUAAAGAACAAUCUCUGCUGUAUUAAUAUAAAAUGUACAAUUGGCUUCCCAUCCUUUUUGCAUAAUGUCAGAUACAGUUUCUGCCAUAUCAGAAAACUUAAUUGAAUGUUACAAUUGAAAGUCUUUCAUUGUUAUUCAUCCUUCGUUUUAAAGCUAUUAAUAUUUUUCUGAUUUUUCAUUUUCAUGUUGGUUGUGUAUAAUUGAUAUUUGCACGCACGCAGUGUCUGCAAAUUUCAUGAUAUACAGGAAAGAGGUACAUGAUUUCUAGUAAUACUAUCAGAGGAAAUCCAGCACUUCUUCACUAAUUUUGAGGGAAAAGUGUCCUUCCAAAAAAGGACCAUUCAAUCAAAAAGAUUUCACUACUGUCAAGUGAGCCUUGACUGCAUUUGCACGCUGUAUCUGUAUCUGCCAAGUCGACCUAUCACUGAUGUCACCUUGCUAGUAAGGACUAGUAAAAGCCUUGUAAACAAUGUUACUCUUUUCCUUAAAAUAUUCAUUUAUUCCAGCUUGAUAUUAAACGGUAGUAAUUUUCACACAUGCACUUUAAAUAUUGCCAAGUAUGCUGACACUCUGUCUGUGUUGUAAUUGCUCUUCUUUUAUGACUCGAGACUAUUUCCAUUCCUAUAACAAUUGCAUAGUCCAUAAAGGAGCCCAAAAUUUGGAAUGGGUUGGGAGCAGUAACUUCUAGAUUGCAUUACCUCUCUGCUUUUGCACUAUCUCUCAGUACAGUUUGUGCAAUCCACUGGAGAACACAAGUCAAAAAGAUACCUUUGACAUUUUACUGUCUGCUUUGAAUUUCAAUUCCACUGUUUAAUUAUAAUUAUGCAUCUCCUUCUGUGUUUUGAUGAAUGGGGCCUUAUAUUUAGAAAUGGCAAAUCAGUAAAUAUCAAUAUAUAACUAAGAUUCAGCAAAGUUCCUAAGUGAAAAUGACUCAUUAGAAUCACCUUAAAAAGUAGAAAAGUGUCAUAAAAUUAAUUCUUAAUUCCUGUAACUCAUUCUUACUCAUGUUUGCCAGUAAGAAAACUGAAGCAAAAAGAAAUGGAGAGAGGAACGGAGAGAGACAGGAGAGGAAGGAGGGAUGAAACCACUCUUUUCAUACCUUUUUUGUUACACAAAACAUCUGGGGAGUAUGGAAUCAUGUGCUGUGUUUUUUCUGGUCUUAUAUUUUUUUUCAGCAUCUUAAAUGUGCGGUAGUUUAUGCUUCAUGUUAUCUAGGCUAAUGGAAAUCAUCAAGGGUAUUAUGUCAAAAAAUUGCAGUGUAUCUUUAGGAACAAAUUAGCUACUGAAUGUGGUGAACAUGGGUUUUUCCAAAUAAGAACAGUUUAAUUCAAAAACGAUGCACAGCAGGACUGGCAGCGAUACUGUAGCCUGCUAUUUUUCUGUCAUGUAAAGCAAAUGUUGAUUUCAAGUUCACAGAAAGUUCAGGAGGUUUCAAAGGUAUAACUCAUUGAAAUAAUUGUUUAGCAAUAAGAAGACCAUAAUCACCCAGAAACCUCUGGUAACUGCUACCAGUCCUCGAUCAUUUAAGUUACUGCAGCUAUUGGAAAUGGCAGCCAGUUUAGCACAAUAUUAAAAGUGCCUUAUUUAUGUUCUACUUCUGAUAGAUGCAUGUUUCAGGUAACUCUGACUUUGCUAUCGAAGUAUGUGAGCAUCCUUGACUGGGCAGGUAGUAGUAUCCUGUGAGGAAAUACCAAUGCAUCAUAGGAAUAUUACUUUAUUAUUUUUCCUCUCUUGAUCUUUAAUUAUUAUGAUCCCAGUCAGAUAUUCUAAUUCAUGUUGUUUAUAUUUAGCAGUUCCAGCAGGUGCAAAUCUUGGCUAAAGUCCACCACAAUUACACUCAGCUUAAAAGUAAAGAGUUUAAGUAAGGCUUUUCUGAAGCACCUGUGCAAACACAUUUAAUCAUUUAUAAAGCAUUUUUUACUAAUAAUUACACUUUUAAUUAUCUGCCUCUAUUAUCACUCUUUAUCACUUAUGUCAUUGAAAAAUUAGCAAUUCUGUUCUCAUACUUGGAGCACUUUUUUUGGCACCUCUGACUGGGCAGAAGCAAUUUGGAUUCUCUUUCAUCUCUCAAAAUUUGAGUGAGAUGUGUAACAUGAUUUUACUGGUGUUAAUUUUCACGAUUUCUUUAGAAUGUGUUAAAGAGAGUGGGUGGAGGGUUCAGAACUCCCCCUAUCAGUGAAGAUCCCAUUAUCUGGCAUCAAGGAAACUGCUAAUGAGUGGUAGGUUGGAACAGGGGAGGUUUCCUCCUUGUUUAGAAAAGUAACUUGUGCUUGCAAGUGGCCUCAGCAUUAGCUUGAUGAGUAAAGAAUGCCAAGAAAAAUAUUAAAAUUAUCUAAGAAAGGAAUUAAUUUUUUAAAGAGUAAAGAGGAUAAUUCCUCAUGCACAGAGUCACACAAAAUUAUUCUGCAAAUCCAUGACAAAGGCAGCUGCUUUGUUGUUGAACCCCUUUAAAAUUUAAUGCAUUCCUAUUUUUGAGUGGCUACUUUCUGUUUUCACUUGUUAGCUUCUCUCAGGAAGGCGUUUGCAGCAAACUCAGCAGUCUGACCGAGCAGUGCCCAGGUAGUCACUCACGUGAGCUGAUAGCUUCCAUUGGAAUCCAGUGGUUUUGGGCAAAAGGCCUUAUCAGCCUGCCCUGCUCCCCUCCUGCAGAGCACUCUCUGCUCUGGCCCAGAGCAGUCUCUGGAGCAGGACCACACUGAUGCUCUCUACUAAACUCAUGUCUUAUGCAGCUCCACGCAGAAAACAAGCCUGUAAUUAAAUUGUUCAAAAUUUGAAGAUCAGUGUGUUUGGCCAUCCCUUCAGACCUAAUUACUUGCCAAAACACAGUGUCCACAGGGUGGGAAUUAAUAUUAAUUAGGAAUCUUCUUGAACUGCAGAAUACAGCCAUUACAGGCAGAGGAAAUGAUUAUGAGAGUUAUGCAACUCGUGUCUUUUAAAAAAUGUAAUUACAACAACAAAUCCCUGUCUCUCAGUACAUGUAAGGAGGCAUUUGUUUCAGGUUAAUAUUAGCCUAAACUGACAAGGUUCAACAGGAUUCAUCCUGAUCUAUUCUGGAGCAAAUGACUGGAGAGAAAAGCCCUUUGUGAGCUCCACAUAGUGACAAAGUGGUCGAUGUGAUGCCCAUGCUGGUUUUCUGCUGAUGAUGCCCUGGUACAUUCUGCUGCACUGUCUGAGGUGCCUCUGCUGCUGCCCAAAUCCUGCUCCCCCAGGUGUGCACAGACACACCACAUGCCCCUUCCAAGCCAGGGGGCAAAGCAGUGCCUGGGGCCCUGCUUCACCCCAGAUGAGCUGAAGAGCGUGCCUGGGCAGUUUCCUGAUCCCAAAGCAGCAGCAGAGCCCCCAGAAUAUUGUGGCAUGCUGGCAGACCCAGACUAGGUCUCUUUUUCUUCUUUGGAGGGUGAAGGUGGAAGAUUUUGCUCUCUAAGCAGAAUUCAUGGCUGAAUGACAAAGCAGAAAACAUUACCCAGUGCAAUUCUGGAGAUAGGUAGUGGAGACUGUAUUUGCAAAUGCAAAACCUAAAUACCACUGAAUUUUAGUUGAAUGUGAGAAUCAUAUUUUAAAAGACACAUGGAGAGCCCUAAAGAGACAGAGGAGUGUGAAAGUCAGCUGGUUUUAGUUCAUUUUGUACUUCCCAGAAGAGAACAGGGGUGUGCACUGACUUGUCUGAUGUUGGAGAUCAUCCCCUAAUGCUAAUUAUAGAUAAAUAUCUUUAUCUAUAAAGAUAUUUUUAAUUCAGGCUUUCCAAUAACAGACAGUAAUUGCUAAGAAUAUUUAAUAGUCCAUAUGUAUAAGGAAAAAAAAGGCCUCUGCUGUGACUUCCUCUAGACAGUCUUGUGACCAUUCCAUCACUGAUAAAAUCUAUGUUGUUUAUUACCUCCUCUUUUAGAUUUGAGACUUCAGCUAUUUCAAGAGCAGAGUGAAGUAUCAGAUUGUGUGACUGAGCAUGCACCCUUGUAAUAAUAUUAUGGUAUUGAAGUCCUAAUUGAUUUUGGAAGCGAAUACAAAACAAACAUAAAUAAUCUAUUGAUUUGGAAUGUGAAAAGCGUCAUUCAUUGCACUUGAGGUUCUCAGCUCCUGGAAAAGAGGCAGUGUUUGUCUGCAAAUGCUAAUGAUUUGUGUCUAUGGAUUUAUGAAUUGAUUGCCAUUGAAAUGAAGAACCCUUACCCAUAUUUUGCAUUCACUGUUAAAAGCAAGAGUCAGAUUGUCAUUUUUGUUGCCAUACCUCCUCUUUAUUUCUAACAGGUACUUUUACUGCAGGUUUAUUCCAAUAUUCUUGACAUUCUGCCCUAAAUUAGCUUAUUUCAAGUGCUUCUCAUUGGUGACCAGUAAGGCAAGAUAUAUAUCUACCAUUAAAAGGAAUAAAGAGAAAUAUUUUAGAAUAGUCAUGACAAGCCAGUUAAGUGUAUGACUAUGGAUGGAUGCCUCAAGAAGCUGAUAGUGAGUUUCAGCUGUGUCCCAUUCUGUCAUAUUUCAAAAGGCACAGGGAAGACACUGAAUAACAAACCAGUGAAAAUAUCAGCAGGCUGUACUUUAUUUUAUGAUAUUUUAUGAUUUUCUUCUAUACCUUGAAGAGAAUAGAAUGGUAUUCAAGUAUCUUCAGUAUUUGAUCCUAAUAACAUAAGGUGAAGCAAACAUUUGUUUUAUGAGUUUUCAAUACUCCUGGGUUUGAAAACAUUCAGGUGCUUGGAGGAUUAAUCAAAUAAUAAAAUCUGAAGUUCCAGGGGAAUGGAUAUUGACCAGCAAAGAAAGCAAUGCAAUUCUAAUGUGAGUAAAUAGAAUCAGUGUUUUACAGGAGUCCUACACUCAUCAACAUGAAUCUGUGAGUUAUCAAAAAGAAUGAAUCUCAGAACUGGAAAUAGCUAUAAAUAAGCACAUAUAAAAUUUUUCCUGAAACUCUGCUGUUUCUUUGGGUAAUCUUUUUAUGGAUCUCCUGCAUUCAUGUUAAAAAUGAAGGAUGAAACAAUAAAACAAUAACUCCUCUCAUUUUGUUGGAAAAUAAUUGGAAAAUGUUUUGAAGAUAGCAGCAUGGUUUAUGAGCCAUUUUAAUUCAAAAUUCCUGUUCUUGCAACAUUUAAGUAUUGACAUUUUAAUGUCCCAUGCAAUCAAUAAUAAACUCCUUGAUAGCAGCAUUUACUGAAAAAUAUGUUCUUAGCUUGGAGUCACUAAGAAGAAAGAUUUCUUUGAAAUAAUCCAGGCAGUUUAUUUCUGCAGGAGGAAGAAAAGCAUGGUAGACAAGUAGAUGUGGAUGUAGUCAUGCAAUGUCUUUAUAGAGUGUUUGACAAUAAGAGAGAAUUUCCUGCUGUAAAACUAUGUAUUUGGCCUGGUCCUGGCUGUCCAAAUAUCUUAAUCAAAUAAUAUGGUUGUGAUUAAUAUAUAUCUCUCAAUAUUGUGGAACUCAGCUGACUACAAUAAAAAAUCAGUCACCUUA